AUUGAGGACUACAUAAAAGUCAUCAGAGUAUUUUUUUUCUGGAUAAAAGGUACCAUAUAUCUGGUGCCCUAACUAUGUGUACACAAAAUUUCAUGAUGGGUUUUACAUUUGGUUUGUCCGUUCGAGGCAUUGAAGUCUGCUCUUUUUUAUGUUGCAAGCGGAUUUUAAAUCUGACUUCAAAAAUGAGAACUGCAGUGCACAAUGUGCCGUGUGUUUUUCAAAAUCUACAAAAAUUGUAUCUUUUGCUGGCAUUUUCGACUCUCGUAUAAAAAUGUAAUUUUGAAAAGCCUAUAGGGCGCUCGAGGCAUUGAUGUCUGCUCCUUUUAAUGAUGCAUGCGGAUUUUACAUUUGACUUCAAAAAUGCGAACUGCAGUGUCACAAUGUGCUGCGUGUUUUUCAAAUUCUAUAAAAAUUGUAUCUUUUGCGAGCAUUUUCGACUCGUAUAGAAUUGUAAUUUUGAAAAGCCUAUAGGGCGUUCGAGGUAUUGAUGUCUGCUCAUUUUCAAUAAUGCAAGCGGAUUUUACAUUUGACUUCAAAAAUGCGAACUGCAGUGUCACAAUGUGCUGCGUGUUUUUCAAAUUCUAUAAAAAUUGUAUCUUUUGCGGGCAUUUUCGACUCGUAUAGAAAUGUAAUUUUGAAAACCCUAUAGGGCGUUCGAGGCAUUAAUGUCUGCUCUUUUUUAUGAUGCAAGCGGAUUUUAGAUCUAACCUCAAAAAUGCGAAUUGCAGUGUCACAAUGUGCUGCAUGUUUUUCAAAAUCUACAAAAAUUGUAUCUUUUGCGGGCAUUUUCGACUCGUAUAGAAAUGUAAUUUUGAAAAGCCUAUAGGGCGUUCGAGAGAUUGAUGUCUGCUCUUUUUAAUUAUUCAAGCGGAUUUUACAUUUGACUUCAAAAAUACGAACUGCAGUGUUUCUGUGUGUUUUUCGAAAUCGUCGAUAAUUGUAACUUGCGAACGUCUUUGACUCUUAUAAAGUGUAAUUUUGGUAAGCCUAUAGGUCGUUCAAUGCAUUUUUGUAGUCAAAUGUAAAAUCCGCUUGUACAACGAGAAAGGACAGACUUCAAUGCAUCGAACGCCCCGUCGGUCUUCAAAAUUAAAUUUACGAGUCAAAAAUGUCGGAGAGAGAAAGCGAUUAUAAUUGUAACUUUGGCGGUCAUUUUUGUUUGGUUUAAAAAAUAUGACGUUGGAGGUAUUGAUGUCUGCUUUUUCUUACGUUUCAAACGUAGUUUACAUUUUGCUAUACAAAUUGCGGCGUGGCAAACUACUGUGUGUUUUCGAAAACUAUUAAAAAUUGUAGUUUCCGUAGACAUUUUUGAUUUGUUUAAAAAUGUAAUUUUGAAGUACCGAUCGGCCUAUCGAUGCAUUGAUCUGAUUAAGAAACUAGGUUUAUUCCGGUAGUGUGUAUAAAUAAUCUUUUUUAAUUGUGUAGCUAAUUUAUUAUUUCAAAUAUUUGGCGCCAGUCUAGAAUGUUGCCCGAACAUAUCAGUACAGCGCUCCCUUGCAUUAACCUCGGUAACAUUCAGACUGUCACGUGAUCACGUCGCCAGUCCAACUUUGGGUUUAUUAAAUUACAAUAAUGUCUCAUUUUAAGUAAUAUUGUGAUAAAUAGUCACAGUGGAUUCAUUUAAAUUGUGUCAUAGCAUUUUUUUAAACCGGCAUAUGCAACAACGAACCACUACUUGUCAAUACAUAUUAAGCAUAAAAUGGAUGACCCCUUGAUGACCCCUGGAUGAUUACCCUUUGUAGAUCUAUUAUCUAUGAUGGAUGACUAUCUUGGACGAGAUUAAGAAUUACGUAAUCUCAUCGAUGACGUACUUCCUUCUUGUUCACCAGUUUGCUGCUGCUUCUCGUCUCGUUUUGUAGUUUCGCAUUGUGCUAUUUUAUGGGUAUUUUUUAUACGAAGAAUUUGGGAAAGAUUCACGUAGGAAUAGAUUUUUGUCUUGCCUAUGUUAAAUAAGUUGUCCUGUGGCAGUAACCUAGGGAGACAUUUCAUAUUCUUUCUAAAUCUUAAUGGAACUUGUUGUCAAGAGAAUGAAUGCGUACUGAUAGUUACAAUAUACCAACUGGAAUAUUUGUUGUUUUGGUACAGGCUUUACAAUAAUACCGAAGGGCAUAAAAAUGGUCUAUGCCAAGAUCUUAUAUUAUUAAUGGUGUGAAAAGUUUUCCUUUACCUAUAAUACCUUCCACACUAGUGGGAAACCUGUGAGACUUACUUUGGUAUCAAGAAGUUUUGCAAAUGACUUCCUCUCCUGGAAAGUGAAGUGGUUUGCUGAAGAAUGAGCUUGUGGCAUGUAAUUGGCUUCUGUUUGGACACGUUAGGAGUUAUAAGACUAAGAGGUAAGAAAGAUAUC